rnacentral:rRNA from 1 species
GGGUGCGAUCAUACCAGCAAUAAUGCACCGGAUCCAUCAGAACUCCGAAGUUAAGCUUGCUUGGGCGAGAGCAGUACUAGGAUGGGUGACCUCCUGGGAAGUCCUCGUGUUGCACCCCUC